UCAGUCGGUAGAGCAUCAGACUUUUAA
rnacentral:piRNA from 4 species